ACUCAGCUGCGGUUUCCCAGGUCUAGCUUUUCGUUUUGUUCUGUUUUGUAUUUUCUGUAACAGAGGGGUGUCCUCAGUCUGCAUGUAACUUUAUGAUAGUUAUUCCAAGUUCAGGAGAAGCAGUAUUAACAUCAGUUGAUCAGUACAAAGUAAUUUUUUAAUCUAAUUCACCAUUUCACAUGUUUGUACUUCUUUGUCUUCCCAUUAACCUUUGCCAGUGUUAUGAUUGUAUACAUUUUUAAAAAUGCUGGUUAAACAGGAAUGCUUAAAGCUUUAAAAGUUUUAACAGUCUAAACUUUGUUUUGCCUUCAUUCAACUGCAGAAGAAUAUUUUUAUUGUUACUUUUGUUCUGUAUCAUGUCCUAUGCUAGAAAUACUGACAAUAAUGUGAGACAAAGCAGGGCUACGUGGCACUCCAGCCAGACUCUGUGGAUGUGCGCUGAUGCUCGUCAUCAGCAGCAACUCCUUUGGGAUGACCUCAAUGAGAAAUGUCAUGGAACCAGCCAGUUCUGUAAGACUGACGAUAGUGUCUGUCGGUUCUUGAUCUUGCCACCUUUAUUUAAAGCCGUGUCCCUUCUUUUACCCCGUAAGAAAGCUGCACCAGAUCACCUGCCUAGGUUUCCAUGAGAAUUAUUACAAUGGGAGGUUUUGUUGCAGAGCCUUUUGGUUUAUCUUUGUUGUGAAUGAUGCUUUUUGUUGUAUUUAUUAAUAUCAAAUUCACUUAUGAAUAGACUUGAUAAUGGAAACAGAUGAGAAAAAUCAAGUGCAUGUGUGUCUUUGACUAUUCUGUUUCUCAUUUGAUAAACUAAUUAUUGACAUGGGAGUCAACCAGCACCUUUUUGUUGAAUGGUGGAACCUGGUUUCCUUUGACCAUGAAAUUGUCUUCUGGAAACAUGGGUCCUGAUGAGAGAGAAGAUGCUGCAAGAGGCUUCUGUCCAUUGGGCUCUCACUCUACCUCUCAGGGCUGACAUUUUAACUGACCCGCUUCCUGGAGUGUCUUGUCUUGGAAAACUACUUCAAAGGAGAUGUUUUGUUACCUUUUAACAUUUUUUUAAAUCACCUCUGCUAAAGUUAUUUUCGUGUGCAGCCAACUUUCAAAUAUUACCAGUUUGGGUGAAAGGCCAAAUUUGGUGAUUUGGAACCAGGAUACUAUUGAUUUCUCAUCUUGACUUUUUUUUUUUUUUUUUUUUUUUUUUAAAUCCUAACAUAAGAUGAAUUUGACUGGAAAGCAAAUGGCUGUUAGGGAAGCAGUUUGCUAUUGUUACAGAGUUACCUAUACUUUGUUCAGCUGGAAAAAUGUAGAAAUGUAUGUAAAGAAAGUAAGCCGAGAAAACUGGAUGGAUGAUUGGUCAUAGGCUUUUUCUUUCCUUUGUUUUUCCGUUUUAGCAGCAAGAAGAGAUAUUACUCCACACCCUCUCCCUACUGUAACAGUUUUGUUUUCUACUGUUAAUGACAUUGUGUAUUUAUAGCUCUAUGCUUACUGUUGUGCAUAUACUGGCAAUAAAACUGUACAUAACAUUACUUGAAGACCUUAACUAUGUAGCUCAGCUCUUUCUCUCACUGUGUGACAAAAUAUAUGGGUUCUUCGGUAAACAUGAAAGGUCUUGGACCAGUUAUGCACCCUGAGUUCUGUAUGUGCAUUUGAGUUGCAAAGAUCAGGACUAGCAAGUGCAAUCCAAUAUAUACAAGAGAAUGUGUCCUACAGCUGGACAUGGAACUCUGACCAGUAGUGUUUUGUAUUCACUGACUGUUAGUGUAUUUCAUAAUCAUUUUGAAUCAGUAUAUUGAUUUGAUUUAUGCUUUAAAGUAUUUUAAUUACGCUGGGCAGUGGUGGUGCGUGCCUUUAAUCUCAGCACUCGGGAGGGCAGAGGCAGGUGUUUUCUGAGUUUGAGGCCAGCCUGGUCUACAGAGUGAGUUCCAGGACAGCCAGGGCUACACAGAGAAACCCUGUCUCGAAAAACCAAAAAAAAAUAAAAAAAUAAAAGACAACCAAGUAGAGUGACGUAAGCAUUGAGCAGUUGGAUCUAACAGGAGGCACUGAAGAACUGGACCAUGCAGAAGAAAAGCAGAGUGGGAGUGCAGGUGCACACAACAUACACAGUGGGGGUGGGGGCCCACACCUAUCAUCUCAGCACUUGGGAAGUGGAAGCACAUAGAUCUGAGUUGAGGCCAGCCUGGUCUACAGAGUGGGUUUCAGGAUAGCCAGGGCUACACAGAGAAACCCUGCCUCAAAUGAAAAG
rnacentral:lncRNA from 1 species